rnacentral:tRNA from 1 species
GCUCUCGUAGUGAAAGGGACGAUCACGCGGGUCUCCGGAGCCCGAGAUCCUGGUUCGAUUCCAGGCGAGAGCG